UACGUAGGGGGCAAGCGUUGUCCGGAUUUAUUGGGCGUAAAGAGCGUGUAGGCGGCUAGGUAGGUCCGUUGUGAAAACUCGAGGCUCAACCUCGAGCUGUCGAUGGAAACCAUCUGGCUAGAGUCCGGAAGAGGAGAGUGGAAUUCCAGGUGUAGCGGUGAAAUGCGUAGAUAUCUGGAGGAACACCGGUGGCGAAGGCGGCAUCCUGGACCGGCAUUGACGCUGAGGCGCGAAAGCUAGGGGAGCAAACGGG
rnacentral:rRNA from 1 species